rnacentral:tRNA from 1 species
GCCUGGGUAGCUCAGUUGGUAGAGCACUGCACUGAAAAUGCAGGUGUCGGUGGUUCAAAUCCGCCCCCAGGCACCA